CCUACGGGAGGCAGCAGUGAGGAAUAUUGGUCAAUGGACGAGAGUCUGAACCAGCCAAGUAGCGUGAAGGAUGACUGCCCUAUGGGUUGUAAACUUCUUUUAUAAAGGAAUAAAACGAGGCACGUGUGCCUUUUUGCAUGUACUUUAUGAAUAAGGAUCGGCUAACUCCGUGCCAGCAGCCGCGGUAAUACGGAGGAUCCGAGCGUUAUCCGGAUUUAUUGGGUUUAAAGGGAGCGUAGAUGGGUUGUUACGUCAGUUGUGAAAUUUUGCGGCUCAACCGUAAAAUUGCAAUUGAUACUGGCAGUCUUGAGUACAGUUGAGGUAGGCGGAAUUCGUGGUGUAGCGGUGAAAUGCUUAGAUAGCACGAAGAACCCCGAUUGCGAAGGCAGCUUACUAAACUGUGACUGACAUUGAUGCUCGAAAGUGUGGGUAUCAAACAGGAUUAGAUACCCGGGUAGUC
rnacentral:rRNA from 1 species